UACCAGCACCCCGAGUGGUCGGGACGUUUAUUGGGCCUAAAGCAUCCGUAGCCGGUUCUACAAGUCUUCCGUUAAAUCCAACUGCUUAACAGGUGGGCUGCGGAAGAUACUAUAGAGCUAGGAGGCGGGAGAGGCAAGCGGUACUCGAUGGGUAGGGGUAAAAUCCAUUGAUCCAUUGAAGACCACCAGUGGCGAAGGCGGCUUGCCAGAACGCGCUCGACGGUGAGGGAUGAAAGCUGGGGGAGCAAACCGGG
rnacentral:rRNA from 1 species